rnacentral:rRNA from 1 species
CGAGCGCAACCCUCGUCCUGUAUUGCCAGCAGCGGUUUCGGCCGGCUGGGGACUUGCGGGAGACUGCCGGGGUCAACUCGGAGGAAGGUGGGGACGACGUCAAAUCAUCAUGCCCCUUAUGUCCUGGGCUGCACGCAUGCUACAAUGGCCGGUACAGAGGGCUGCGAUACCGUGAGGUGGAGCGAAUCCCGUAAAGCCGGUCUCAGUUCGGAUCGGGGUCUGCAACUCGACCCCGUGAAGUCGGAGUCGCUAGUAAUCGCAGAUCAGCAACGCUGCGGUGAAUACGUUCCCGGGCCUUGUACACACCGCCCGUCACGUCACGAAAGUCGGUAACACCCGAAGCCCAUGGCCCAAC